CAAUAGCGUAUAUUAAAGUUGUUGCAGUUAAAAAGCUCGUAGUUGGACCUUGGACCUGGACAGGCGGUCCGCCUCACGGCGUGUACUGUCUUGCUGGGUCUUUCCUCUUGGUGAUCUGUUGUUUCGGCAGCAGGGAACCAGGACUUUUACUUUGAAAAAAUUAGAGUGUUCAAAGCAGGCUCGACGCCGGAAUAUAUUAGCAUGGAAUAAUAAAAUAGGACGUGCGGUUCUAUUUUGUUGGUUUUUGGAAUCGCCGUAAUGAUUAAUAGGGACAGUCGGGGGCAUUAGUACUCACAUGCUAGAGGUGAAAUUCUUGGAUUUUGUGAAGACUAACUUCUGCGAAAGCAUUUGCCAAGGAUGUUUUCAUCAA
rnacentral:rRNA from 1 species